rnacentral:lncRNA from 1 species
GGAGAUCAAAGCAAACCCAAAAAAAUUUUAAACUCUCCAAUAAAUAAAGCCUCUGAGGAUGAUCAAAGAAGUACAGCAUCUAAUAGGAAGCAUUACGCUUUGAACAGGUUCCUCCCAAGGUCGGCUAAAAAAUAGCCUCCCUUUCUUUAAAGCUCUCAAACAAGUAAAGAAUUUUCAAUGAUCGGAUAAAUGUCAAGUCAUCUUUGAUGAACUUAAUUGAUAUCUUGAUUCACCUCC